rnacentral:rRNA from 1 species
UACGAAGGAGGCUAGCGUUGUUCGGAAUCACUGGGCGUAAAGCGCACGUAGGCCGACGGCUAAGUCGGGGGUGAAAUCGCAGGGCUCAACCCUGGAACUGCCUCCGAUACUGUUCGUCUCGAGUCCGGGAGAGGUGAGCGGAAUUCCGAGUGUAGAGGUGAAAUUCGUAGAUAUUCGGAAGAACACCAGUGGCGAAGGAGGCCCAGCGGACCGGUACUGACGCUGAGGUGCGAAAGCGUGGGGAGCAAACAGG